UUCCUGCGUGUCCCUGGCUCCGAGCUCCAGUUUCUCUGCUCGCCCCCAUCGACGCCGGCCUGCUGAUGCUUUUCCUUACAAAGCGGGCUAUGCCCAUCUCUGUCCCCACCUUGUGUUAAAGAAGGGACAGCCGGACUGUCAUCUUCACGAACGGAGGAGAGGGGACCCCUAAAGGCCACAGAGCAAAGCGUGCCCUCCAUACCCUUGAGCCAAGUCCUACCUGAGCGACCAGGGGGUCAGCCCUCCCCACUUUUCCCUGGCCGGGGCGCCCCCUCCCUAUGACCCACAGGCUCCUUCUCGCUCCCCCUCUCCCCUUCUGAGACCAUCUGCCAGGCAACAAUCUCGUACUGUUUCAUACUAAACAGUGAGUGACUGAUAGCUAACACCACAGUGUUCUAGGCCUGUGCCAGGCCUUGUGCUUGAUGGUUUUACUUCUGUGAUUUUGUUUAUACUUCCAACAGCAGCUGUGUUUUACAGUGUUUACAGCAGUGUAGGCACUGGGAACUAAGUAGGAGGAACCAAGAGCUAAGUCCUUACCCUAGGAGGGUUGUGGACUUAGCACACCUGGGAUGGUUUACCUUUAAUAGAGCAGAACAGCUACAGACGCUGAGUGGGCACUGGCUGAACACUGGGCUCACCUGACGGGCUUUCCAGUCAUGAGAAGCUGGAGGUCUCGGGACAUUUGGGCCUAACUGGUCUCACCGGUGGGAGAGCAGCCCAGCACUUGGCCAGCUAGAACCUGCUACAAGCCUCGGGGUCCCCGGGGCGGAGAACCCUGCUUUUCAGGAAGGCGAGGGACACGUUGCACUCCGGAGAUGGAGGUGAAUGGAAGAUUCAUCUCCCUCCUCCAACCACUGAAGAGCAGCACGUGGCGAACAGCAGCUGAUGGUGGCCAGGCCGAGGCCCAGCCUUGUGACCAACGCACAGCAAUGCUCUCUCAAGCACUCAUUUCUGGCCAGGAGAAACUCAUCAUCAAAAUCUCAGGAGAAGCCAACAUAUUGAACAGAAAUUGCAGGCAGACUCCAUGGUAGGAAGUCCAACAAGUGAAAGUGCCAGCUCUCUUGGUAAAGGAGUGGAGAGAGAGGCCCCAGAAGGAAGUGGGGCUAUCAAGAGGCCAAAGGAGUGAUCCCAUAACGCUGAAUAUGAAUUUCUGGAUUCACAUCUAAAGUACACAUCCAUGGUUCAGACCCCAGACAGUUCUGAGAACGUUCUGAGCCACAUGUUCUGAGAAUGAGGCUGCAGGGGCAGUGAUCACCAGUGUCCCAUGCUGGCUACUCUGGUCACAUGUAGGACAGACUCAGACUGCACAACUGGAACUGAUGUUGGAACUGUAGUCCUCAGAGGCAGAUUAGAACUCGCAGCCUGGACCUCACUGAUUGCUGGCUUACUAAAAUGACAAAAUCAGGGCUGGAGAUUUAGCUCAGUGGUUCCAGUGCCUGUCUUGCAAGCGCAAGGUCCCAAGUUCAAUCCCUGGUACCAAACAAAAUAAAAUGACAAAAUAAGUCCUCACUAGGGCUUCUACAAGUCCUGGAGUCUCUAAACCCAAGAGUCAAAAUGUCCAGCACAUCAUCCGGCCUUUACUCAGCUUCCGAAAAAUGAGGAAAAAUUCAUCAUUCAAGAGAAAGAGAAUCAACAGACUCCACCUCUAAGAAGGCACAGGUGUUGGAACUACC